rnacentral:rRNA from 1 species
GCGUAGGGUACGUCGGCGGAUAGUUCAAAAUAGAGUAAAAGACUGAGGAUGACCCUCUUUAAUCUGUAUUUACUAACUAUCUUGAGUUCUAGAGUGAUUAAUUGAAUUCCUUAAGUAAGGGUUAAAUUGUUGAUAUUGGAAGACAUUCGAUGGCGAAAGCAAUAAUCAAUCUAGAUCUGACGCUAGGUACUAAAGUAUGGGUAUGAAAAGGAUUAGAGACCUUGUAGUCCAUACCUUAAACAAUGAGUGUUCAACAUCCUUUAGGAAAUUUAAGUUUACUUGAAGGGAACCUAAAGGGGGUUUAAAGCUAACGCGUGAAACACCGCCUGGGGAAUGUGGCCGCAAGGUUAAACUCAAAGGAAUUGAGGAGGCUUGUACAAGG